AUGUAUAGUAUGUAUACAAGCUUAUAACAUAUUUAUACCUGUUCUUUUUUCUUUUUUCUUUUUUCUUUUUUUUUUUUGGUGAAGGCAACUGAUAUACGAGCAAAAUUGUUUUCAAAAUACUCAUGAAAACUGUAAAGAAAUGGACAAGUUUUAUAAAAUAUUAUCUGGGAUGCAAGCUAACAUAGCCACUUUAUCUUCUGAAUAUUUUUAUUUAAAAAAUGAUUACGUUUUUGGAGAUAAAUAUCCCGAUGCUAUGCUCAAAAAUGAUUAUUAUAAAAAAAAAAAUUAUAACUAUAAUAUAACAUUUUUUCAAGAAAAAAUUGGUUUAUUUCCUGAUCGAAUAGAAAAUCUCUAUUUUACUUUUGCUAUUUUAUUAAGAGCAUUGUGUAGAUUGAAAUUUUUAUUUAAACUGUGCAAAUGUAACUCGGGUUUUAGUGAUAACGAUAAAGAAGCUGUUAAGAUUUUGGGAGAUCUUUUAAGCAAUAACUAUCAUUCAUGUUCUUCUGAAACAUUUUUAAAACCACUUUUUCCAACAAAAUGGAAAGAUAUAUUAUCCAAGUUUGCAAUGAUAACAAAUAUAUUAGAUUGUGUACCUUGUGUUAAAUGUAGAUUACAUGGGAAGUUAAAAACUACAGCAUUGCAAAUUGCGUUAGUUGUAAGUAUAUUUUUAAAUUACAAACACACACGAGUGUAUUGUUUAUAUAUAUGCCAUAUAGCUACUACUAACACUUCUGCCUUUUUUAUUUUUUAUUUUUUAUUUGCAUAAUAUGGUUUAAUAUAUUAUUAAAAAUGUUUCUUAUGUUUUUGUAUUUUUGUAGGAAGGAGUAAGUUAUGAACAUAUUAGGUCCCUUGAAAGAAAUGAAAUAACUGCAUUGAUUAAUGCAAUUUACUAUUUUGCAGAUUCCAUACUAAUUAUAAACAAGUAAAGUUGUCCACUUAUUCGUUUGUUUGUCCACCUACUCAUUUGUUUGUCCACCUACUCAUUUGUUUGUCCGUUUUUUCGCUUAUCCAUUUUUAGGUUCGAAAAGAGACUAAAACUGAAGAAAAAGCUUUUUUUUCUUUUAUUUUUUUUCCAUUCUAUUUUUCGUCACUUUAGUCAUAUAUUCCCUAAUUUUUAUAUCAAGAAGAAAAAAAAAACAAAAGAUAAAUUAAAAUUAAAAUAAAAAUUAGAAUUAAAAUAAAAAUAAA
rnacentral:lncRNA from 1 species